AAGAAGAACCCUGGUAUUGUAAUAAACUCGUAGCAAAGUAAAAGGAGUUGAGUGGAGGAAGAACAUGGCGUCCAAGGUUGUCUCUACACUUCUCAUCUCCUUUUUUGUUGUAGCCAUCUUAUUCUCUUCCGUUCAAUCUACGGGAGAUGUGGAUGUGCCAUUGAAGAAUAAGUAUAAUGAUAAGUUAGAGCUAACAUGUAUCGGAGAACCUCAAUGCAAAUCAGAUGAUAACUGUGGUUCGGUAUGUAUUGAAACCGGAUUUAGCGAUGGCAAAUGCUAUGAAAAUAAGGGUUGUUGCUGCUACGACAAACCAAUCAAAGUUUAAUGGAAUACGACAUAUGCAGUGGGGCAAUUCAUCUCCACGUUUUAUUUCUUCUUAUGCUUUUUUAGGUCAUGAUAAGCCAUCUGUUAGAAGGAUGUUUAUAGGCCAUAGGCCCCAAAUUGUAAGCUUAUAACUUACUUUGGCCAUAAUAAAGCUUAUCAUUUUAUA